rnacentral:lncRNA from 1 species
CCUCUGCAACAGCCACCAUAAACAGCAGAGCCUACGUAGUAUGUUGGGUCUGCUCUGGACAUUUUUAAUCCUGGGUGUCAAUGGGAUAUAUUUUUGCAAUUGAACAUCGUGUUCUGUUUAUGGAGCUUGUCCAGAUGUCUCCCGACGUUCCUUUCCCUCACAGUUCCCACACUACUCCUUCAUCCUUCUUUUUGUCCUUCACUUUGGAUUCCUUUCUGCGCCUCCACCGUACUGGAGCCUCUACAGGAUGAAAAUUUCCAUGAGCAAUAACAGAA